rnacentral:rRNA from 1 species
CUCAAGAUGAGAUUUCCCACCGCGUGAAGCGGGUAAGAUCCCUCGAAGAUGACGAGGUCGAUAGGUCCGAGGUGGAAGCGUGGCGACACGUGGAGCUGACGGAUACUAAUCGAUCGAGGGCUUAACCAAG